ensembl:lncRNA
GCUGGGGGAAGACUUGUGGCACCAAAGGGUCUUGUUGACGCUCCCCAACCAUCACAUUGCUCUGGGCAGCUGAUGCUCUUUAGCUGCUGAUUACAAGAUACAUAUUUUACACGAUGUCCUGAAUCAAAAGGAUUUUGAAUAUUACUCUGAACUGACUCUAUCACAAUUACGUAUCAAGGAAUUCGCUGUAAGUGAAAUGGGAGGUAAGGACAUAAUGAAGGUAUAAGACACCAUCGGGGAUAAUAAGAUGGAGAUCAGGAAGUAGGUUUGUAAAUAGCAGGGUGGAUAUAUGGGAAAAGCCACUGUCUGUUGUCCUGGUUCUCCACCCCACGCUGGGCAGAAGCAGUCAUCUGAGAAAAGAGCGACUAUAUCCAGUCCUACAAUCCUAUUGCGGUGAGGAAAAAAAAAAAGAACACAAACAAACAAAAAUAAAACAACUCACUCACAGGAAAGUUAGGUGAAUGCGAUUCAGGAAACAUAUUCUCAACCCCAACACACUUCAUUGGACCAGCUCUAGGUAAUCUUAGUAAGGAUUAUAGAUCUCCAUUCAUCUUUCUAAUUAGGAAGAAAAUAAACUAUAAGCAGGAGGCCAGAUUGAAGCUAUAAUGUGAUUUUUAAAAAAAGAAAAUAAUUAUCUUGGUCAAAUUUUCUAGAAAAUAAAACCAGAGGCAAAGAUCCCUUGUGAAGCCUGUGUUGGAAGGUGCAAUCUCAAGGCUUCAAAAGCGAGAGAAAGUGGGGAAAGAAGGAAUGCGGAUGCCAGGUGGCAUGUUAAGGAACUGGUAAUAACCCCACAAGGAAAUUUGCGAAUUUCCUUGCUUGUCCUACAAGUCACCUUGAGGCAGUUCCUCGGGGUGGGGGAGAUGAUCCUCAGCUGCCUGGAAGCCAUGGGAUGGGACCGGCCAUCCAGAAGGUACGAGAGCCUCAUCAGCUCAGACCCAGCCCCGGAGCAGGCCCUGGCUCCUGUUGCAGCAGAACCUUAGUUCAGCUAUCCAAGUGGAACCGCCCCAGUUGGUGUCAUCUCCAUACCUACAGCAAGAGGUACCUUGAAGAGCAACACAUGGGCACUUGUCUACGAGGUCAAAAUAUCUUCAUAUCCUUUUCAUGUGACACCCCCUCCCCCCAGAGCCCCACCAAGAACAGUCUGGGUUUCCCUGCCUCUAUGCAUAGUUUACCUGAAUCUGCAUCUCCCCGCAGCUUCCCUAUAGGUGUUUGCCAAUCCCUUAUGAGGUCAGGAGCUUGCCCUGUGACAUGGAGAGAAUAUUUAUGUAGUUACAUCACAUCCUGCGGGGCAAAGGAGACAGCGUGAGAAAGUCUGUUGCCACUAAGCGUCUGUAGUUUGUCCCUUGCGAAGGUUUCAUGUCAAAACCUGGAGGAGAGGCUAGAUGGUCGGGGCCUGAGUUUUCCACUCUCUCCCUGGAGCUCGGAUGUCUGAGAGGGAUCCGUGUGGCUAUGGGUUUGCAUGUUAGCACCUGAAAGAGGGCGCAGCCCCCACCCUGGAAUGAAUGUACUCUUCCAAAAGGAUUCAUUUCCAGAGGGUGGUGGAAGGAACAACAGACACAGCCCUGUGCCCACACACACUGCCAUCUGCCGUUCCAACCACAUGUCUCUGCCCCCCGUUUCCUGCAAGUGAUUCAUCUAUUCUUUUUCUCCUUCUUCAAAGAUAACUGUGUAGGCAUUUAAGGAGGGGGGGGGGAAGUCAUUAAGAAAAGUGGAAUCCGGAGUUCUGGGGGUGAGGUAGAGCCGAUUAAACAGUCUGGAAUUUCACAAAGCAAGCUGGGCGGGUGCGGACUCUGGGCCUCCUCUCUCCCACUGGUGCAUCAUUUCGCAACAGCUUAUCAGCACCCAUCAGCGGCAACGGCUGCAAACUGGGAGCAAACUGGGAGCAAACUGGGAGCCCGGAGCUGCCAAGGAGCAGAGAAGAAGGGCAGAAGUCAGGAAGAGGAUUUGGGAUUUCCUGGGGCGCUGCUCCUCUUACCUGCUGGCGUCCUCGGCUUCGGUCUCUAAUUUUCUCUAAUUUCACACCAAUGAUUUAGAUCUCUGUGACUUUUAAGUUUUUAUUUAAAUUCCAGGUGGUGGGGACGCCUGGGUGGCUCAGGGAUUGGGCAUCUACCUUGGCUCAGGGCCUGAUCCCGGGGUCCUGGGAUCGAGUCCCUGCAUGGAGCCUGCUUGUCCCUCUGCCUCUCUCUGUGUGUGUCUCUCAUGAAUAAAUAAAUAAAAUCUUUAAAAAUAAGUAAAUAA